rnacentral:rRNA from 1 species
AAUAUUGCACAAUGGAGGGAACUCUGAUGCAGCGACGCCGCGUGAGCGAAGAUGACAUUCGGGACGUAAAGCUCUUUCCUAUGGGACGAUAAUGACGGUACCAUAUGAGGAAGCCCUGGCUUACUCCGUGCCAGCAGCCGCGGUAGUACGUAGGGGGCGAGCGUUGUCCGGAAUUACUGGGCGUAAAGGGUACGCAGGCGGCCAUGUAAGUCAGAUGUGAAAGGCGUAGGCUUAACCUAUGUAAGCAUUUGAAACUGUGUGGCUUGAGUUAAGGAGAGGAAAGUGGAAUUCCUGGUGUAGCGGUGAAAUGCGUAGAUAUCAGGAGGAAUACCAGUGGCGAAGGCGACUUUCUGGACUUAAACUGACGCUGAGGUACGAAAGCGUGGGGAGCAAACA